rnacentral:rRNA from 1 species
GACGAACGCUGGCGGCGUGCUUAACACAUGCAAGUCGAACGGAAAGGCCCCUUUGGGGGUACUCGAGUGGCGAACGGGUGAGUAACACGUGAGUAACCUGCCCUUGACUUCGGGAUAACUUCAGGAAACUGGGGCUAAUACCGGAUAGGAAUCCUUGCUGCAUGGUGGGGGUUGGAAAGCUUCGGCGGUUUUGGAUGGACUCGCGGCUUAUCAGCUUGUUGGUGGGGUAGUGGCUUACCAAGGCUUUGACGGGUAGCCGGCCUGAGAGGGCGACCGGCCACAUUGGGACUGAGAUACGGCCCAGACUCCUACGGGAGGCAGCAGUGGGGAAUAUUGCACAAUGGGCGGAAGCCUGAUGCAGCAACGCCGCGUGCGGGAUGACGGCCUUCGGGUUGUAAACCGCUUUCAGCAGGGGCGAAGCUUGUGGUGACGGUACCUGCAGAAGAAGCACCGGCUAACUACGCG